UUCCUGGAGAAUCUGCAGGUGAGGAAAGUCCGGGCUUCGCAGGGCAGGAUGCCGGAUAACGUCCGGUGGAGGUGACUCCCAGGCUAGUGCAACAGAAAACAACCGCCACGGUUUCUUUUAUUGCGGCUGACGGCUGCAUGAGAGAAAACGGAAGGUAAGGGUGAAAAGGUGAGGUAAGAGCUCACCGCGUCUUUGGUAACAAAGGCGGCGGCUGUAAACCCCAUUUGAAGCAAGACCAGACAGGAACCAUACGGCGGCCCGUCGUGUUCCGGGUAGGUCGCUUGAGCCUGUUGGUAACAGCAGGUCUAGAUAGAUGAUUGUCAGGGAAAUAGUCAGAAGAUUUCUGAUGAUUUCUUAUACAGAACCCGGCUUAUCGUGUUGCUCG
rnacentral:RNase_P_RNA from 1 species